rnacentral:sRNA from 1 species
AAAAGGAGGAAAAAAAAC